AUGAGUUUGUGGGGGAGGGACAUGCUCAGGAUGUUUCAAAGAUCAUUGGUAAAUAGGAGCUGGGAGGUGGUAUAUUGUGGAGAUGAGUACACAGCCUCUCGAGUGAAAAACAAUGAAGGAGCCCGCCCCAUCUCAAGAUACAGGUUGUGCUGUUUGUUUACCAUCUCCACCUCCUCCACCUCUUCCACCUCCACCACCUCCUCCACCUCCACCACCUCCUCCACCACCACCUCCAUCACCACCUCCAUCACCACCUCCAUCACCCCCACCUCUGCCACCUCCUCCACCUCCACCACCUCCUCCACCUCCACCACCUCCUCCACCUUCACCACCUCCUCCACCUCCUCCACCACCACCUCUAUCACCACCACCUCCUCCACCUCCUCCACCUCCACCACCUCCUCCACCACCCCCACCUCCGCCACCUCCUCCACCUCCACCACCUCCUCCACCUCCACCACCUCCUCCACCUUCACCACCUCCUCCACCACCACCUCCAUCACCACCUCCAUCACCACCUCCAUCACCCCCACCUCUGCCACCUCCUCCUCCACCUCCUCCACCUCCACCACCUCCUCCACCACCACCUCCAUCACCCCCACCUCUGCCACCUCCUCCACCUCCACCACCUCCUCCACCUCCACCACCUCCACCUCCACCACCUUCACCUCCACCACCUCCACCUCCACCACCUCCUCCACCUCCUCCACCUCCACCACCACCUCCACCUCCACACCUCCUCCACCUCCUCCACCUCCACCACCUCCUCCACCUCCACCACCUCCUCCACCUCCACCACCUCCUCCACCACCACCUCCACCACCUCAACCUCCUCCACCUCCUCUACUUCCACCUCUUCCACCUCCAUCUCCUCCACCUCCUCCAUGUCUAUCACCACCACCUCCUCUACCUCUACUAUCUCUAUCACCACCACCUCCACCUCCACCAUCUCCACCAUCACCUCCGCCUGCACCGCCACUGUCACCACGAGAACCGCUUCUACCAGCAACACCUCCACCACCUCCACCUCCACGGCCUCUACUACCACGACCUCCAUCACCACCCCCACCUCUACUAUCGCCAUGUCCAUGA
rnacentral:lncRNA from 1 species